rnacentral:rRNA from 1 species
UACGUAGGAUGCGAGCGUUAAUCGGAAUUACUGGGCGUAAAGCGUGCGCAGGCGGUUUUGUAAGUCAGAUGUGAAAUCCCCGGGCUCAACCUGGGAACUGCGUUUGAAACUACAAGGCUAGAGUGUAGCAGAGGGGGGGUAGAAUUCCACGUGUAGCAGUGAAAUGCGUAGAGAUGUGGAGGAAUACCAAUGGCGAAGGCAGCCCCCUGGGUUAACACUGACGCUCAUGCACGAAAGCGUGGGGAGCAAACAGG